rnacentral:misc_RNA from 1 species
GAUGAAGAACGUAGCGAAAUGCGAUAAGUAAUGUGAAUUGCAGAAUUCAGUGAAUCAUCGAAUCUUUGAACGCACAUUGCGCCCGCUAGUAUUCUGGCGGGCAUGCCUGUUCGAGCGUCAUUACAACCCUCAGGCCCCCGGGCCUGGCGUUGGGGAUCGGCGGAGCCCCCCGUGGGCACACGCCGUCCCCCAAAUACAGUGGCGGUCCCGCCGCAGCUUCCAUCGCGUAGUAGCUAACACCUCGCGACUGGAGAGCGGCGCGGCCACGCCGUAAAACACCCAACUCUUCUGAAGUUGACCUCGAAUCAGGUAGGAAUACCCGCUGAACUUAAGCAUAUCAAUAAGCGGAGGA